rnacentral:rRNA from 1 species
UACAGAGGUCUCAAGCGUUGUUCGGAUUCAUUGGGCGUAAAGGGUGUGUAGGUGGCGCGCUAAGUCGGGUGUGAAAUUUCGGAGCUUAACUCCGAAACUGCAUUCGAUACUGGCGUGCUUGAGGACUGGAGAGGAGACUGGAAUUCAUGGUGUAGCAGUGAAAUGCGUAGAGAUCAUGAGGAAGACCAGUGGCGAAGGCGGGUCUCUGGACAAUACCUGACACUGAGGCACGAAAGCCAAGGGAGCAAACAGG